rnacentral:rRNA from 2 species
AAAACGACUCUCGGCAACGGAUAUCUCGGCUCUCGCAUCGAUGAAGAACGUAGCGAAAUGCGAUACUUGGUGUGAAUUGCAGAAUCCCGUGAACCAUCGAGUCUUUGAACGCAAGUUGCGCCCGAAGCCAUCCGGUCGAGGGCACGUCUGCCUGGGCGUCAAAC